UGAAGGUGAACAUCUAAGGAAUUUCUAUC
rnacentral:piRNA from 1 species